GUCGGGGCGCGCCUGUCGCGCCUGUAAUCCAAGCUGCUGGGAGGCUGAGGCUGGCGGAUCGCUUGAGUUCAGGGGUUCUGGGCUGCAGUGGACUAUGUCGAUCGGGUGUCCGCACUAAGUUCGGUAUCGAUAUGGUGCUCCUGGGGGAGCUCGGGACCACCAGGUCGUCUAAGGAGGGGUGCACCGGCCCAGGUUGGAGACGGAGCAGGUCAAAGCCCCCGUGCCGAUCAGUAGUGGGGUCGCGCCUGUAAAUACACACUGUAGGGCAGCCUGAGCGAGACUCGGACUUUUGCGUCU
rnacentral:SRP_RNA from 1 species